rnacentral:rRNA from 1 species
GACGAACGCUGGCGGCGUGCUUAACACAUGCAAGUCGAACGGAAAGGCCUGCAGCUUGCUGCGGGUACUCGAGUGGCGAACGGGUGAGUAACACGUGGGUGAUCUGCCUUGCACUUCGGGAUAAGCUUGGGAAACUGGGUCUAAUACCGGAUAGGACAGCUGUUUAGUGUCAGUUGUGGAAAGUUUUUUCGGUGCAAGAUGAGCUCGCGGCCUAUCAGCUUGUUGGUGGGGUAAUGGCCUACCAAGGCGUCGACGGGUAGCCGGCCUGAGAGGGUGUACGGCCACAUUGGGACUGAGAUACGGCCCAGACUCCUACGGGAGGCAGCAGUGGGGAAUAUUGCACAAUGGGCGGAAGCCUGAUGCAGCGACGCCGCGUGGGGGAUGAAGGCCUUCGGGUUGUAAACUCCUUUCGACAGGGACGAAGCUUUCGUGACGGUACCUGUAUAAGAAGCACCGGCUAACUACGUG